UGGGUUAAGUCCCGCAACGAGCGCAACCCUUAUCCUUUGUUGCCAGCGGUUAGGCCGGGAACUCAAAGGAGACUGCCAGUGAUAAACUGGAGGAAGGUGGGGAUGACGUCAAGUCAUCAUGGCCCUUACGACCAGGGCUACACACGUGCUACAAUGGCGCAUACAAAGAGAAGCGACCUCGCGAGAGCAAGCGGACCUCAUAAAGUGCGUCGUAGUCCGGAUUGGAGUCUGCAACUCGACUCCAUGAAGUCGGAAUCGCUAGUAAUCGUAGAUCAGAAUGCUACGGUGAAUACGUUCCCGGGCCUUGUACACACCGCCCGUCACACCAUGGGAGUGGGUUGCAAAAGAAGUAGGUAGCUAA
rnacentral:rRNA from 1 species